AUAGCUUAUCAUAUCAUGCUUCGGUGGCAUACGAUGCCAAAUCAUGCGUACAUUGUAUAUCGCUCAUAUAAAUCGGCUACGUGAAUCGACCCGAGAAAGCAAAAGAAAGAAGGAGACGACACACGAAGCAUUCGCCAAACUAACGGG